UCGUUUUGGCGAUCGCAAAAUG
rnacentral:miRNA from 1 species